UCACUCUUGGUUAUCUUCAGAGCGCAUGAAUCUUUCGCCUUUUACUAAAGAUUUCCGUGGAGAGGACCAACAAGAGUCUAACUCAAUUUUUUUGAUGCCCUGCUUACGCUGGGUU